AGAAUUUCUCUCUCUCUCUCUCUUCAACCCACGCACAGACCCCCUCCCUCUAAACCCUCUUUCGUUUCGCGUCCAUUCAACCCUCCUCGCCGCCGCUGUUCACAUUGAAGCGAAAGAAGCCGCCACCUCAUCUUGUCACCACCGUCUGGGCUAGCUAAGAGCCAGCCAACAUCGUCGUCCUCUAGCCAGGUCGUCUAACGCCAUCUCGUCUGGAUCUUCAUUGAACGCUACUGCCGACUCGAAGCUGCCACUAAUCAAUUCUGUUCGCGAGCCACUGGAUCAGACGAAGCCCUGCUGUGCGUCGCUCCUCGUUUGGUCAGUCAUCAGCGUAACACUGCCCUUCGUCCGUGCCAGUCUGGUUUUGUAGCUUCCAGGUCAAGGACUUCGAGUAUUUAAGCAACUUGUCUAGCACCUUAAGCGUGAAUUUGGGUAAGGGCAAGGAUAAUCGGGCGAUUGACAAGAGGAAUCCGUGAUAGUGCCAAAGGAACUAGGAACGUUUCUGCAUUUGAACCUUUAUGUCUUCUCAUGUUUUCUUUAUAUAUAUAUAUAUAUAUAUAGUUUUCUUUUCAGUAACUUUCCUUGACUGGGUUAAGGGGUUGGAGAUUUUUUCUCUCCAGCUAAUAUUUUUCUCUGUUUUUUUUUUGUAUUAUUAUUAUUUUUAUUUAUUUCAUGUUAAGGGGUACCCCGGUCAAACGAUUUGAAAUCUUGAGUUAAAGUUAAAAUAGUUUCUUUAUACACUUAAGA